UGGUUGAAUUUUGAAUUUUGUAUUUUGAACCGGAUUUGAUUAUGAAAGAAUCUUGUUUUCUGAUGGUUAUUAUUAUUUUUAAAUUGCAGAGGGAAUACACCGUUUUGCAGCAAAGAGUGUAGACAAGAACAGAUGGAGAUCGAUGAAGCCAGAGAAAAGAAAUUGAAAUCUGGCCGAUCUCUUAGAAAAUCGGAUUCAAAGAGCUCUACACCCAACAAAACUGUUCGGACGGGCAUUGUUACGGUGUCGUAAUUACAUCUUCUUUUUUUCUUUAAAUGAUAAUUGUAUCAUCAUCAAUUUUGAAAAAAAAAAAAACGAAAAAACAAGAUCGGGACAAGAAUGGGAAAAAAAAAAAAGAAACCUUCAAUGGAAUUUUGUAUUUUCGUUUUAUUAUUGGGUAUGAUGUUUGAGAGGAGUGGAUGUUUAUAGGGGGGGGGUAUCGGAUGUGCAGUUUUCAUUAAUGGAAAAUGUGCAAAGAUUUAUAAUUUCUGGUAUUCUUGAAAUUUUUGAAGCAUUCAAGUUCCAAAGAUCCCUCUUUUAGUCUUUCCCGACCAAUCUGUCUGCGGGAGAUCAUACCAUUCGAUCUAACAUGUUGACCCUUUCAUUAAGCAAAUGGAUAUAUAAUAUUUUAAGGGGAAUAAGGGCAAGAAGGAAAAAAAAAAAAAACCGAUUUAUCAGUAUGUCCUUAACUCAAUGAAUGUGGACAUGGUUGAACAGUAUAUUGAGUGUUGGGCAAUAGCUUUAAGGGGGAAAAUCAUAUUUUACCGAUUUCCUGUAAAUUUCGGACCAGAGUUGGAGCUGGAAAGAACUUUUUGUUUUAUUCUGUACUGAAUGGACCCUCCCUGAUUGAAUCGUUUAGUUUCCAUGAUAGUUCGAAGGCAUCUCUUCUUUAGCAAAUUACAAAAGGAAUAAAUUAGCUUCAUUUUUCCAUAGCAAUAGACGAACUUAAAUAUCGUCAAGAACUCAAGAAAAACACAACUUGUCGAGCAGAGAGAUGGAAAUAUUUUCUAGGCUCCCAAUCAGAGGAGGAGGGCAUACAUUAUACAGCUGCAAGCCAUUCUUCAUCUUUGUUCCAUUCUUCUAGUUCAUUAUGAGUUCAAAUGAUUAGUUUUAUUUAUUUAUUUAAUAUCAAUAAUUGGCUUUCUGAGUCCAAAAAAUUGUGGCGAUUCAUCUUUGUUUAAUCAUCAUAAGCCCAAAACAUAGCCCAUUUAUACUCCAUGGAUAUAUGCUUUUGUCCUAAAAGAAAACCUGGAAAUAGGAAGUUAAUUAAUGGGACAUAAUAGAAAUUAUGGGUCAAGUGUUUAGUAUAGUCCCUGCACUACUCCAUAUGCACAUGCUAGAAAAGGUUUAUAUAUUGUUGGAAUCUAAAGUGGUUAAUUGCUUGAAUUGAUUAAGUUGAAUCUAAAGUCAGUUAUUUACAUAGUUUAAUUUUUUUACAUAGUUUAAUUUUUUUUUACGUUUGUGGAGUCUAACUCAAUAAGUAAUCUCACUAUCUUUUAACCCACAAAAAAGAGAGAGUAAAUUAUGCUCUAUCACUCCCUAGUAUAGAGACCUCACCUUUGUACUUAAAAAUUAAAACACUCACCUCUAAACUUUCCUCUUGAGAAUUUAGAUUGUGCUUUGCACUUCAAUUCCAUUCAAAAGUACAUUCCUAAAUGAACAUAUAGUACAUAAACCUAAACAAGUUUUUCAAAUAUAUGGGUGUUCAAGACUUGAUAAUAUACUAGAGAUCAACAACAAUUCAAUCCCUAUUAAAUAGGGAAAAUACAAUAUAUUGAUAAAGUGCAAUGUAAAGUAGAAUUUUUCGAGAUAUGUCUUCAAUGUAAUCUUAAUCUAAUCUCCAUAUUUUAAAGGAUUCGAUUGGUUAAUCCUAUUCAAUCAAAUCUUCAAAAAUUUGUUGCUCCACAAUAUGAAUCUUCAAAUAUAAGCCAACACACAUUCACAAAAUCAUUGAAGUCAUUGCCCAAGUGACGUGGUUGAAAAGAUUUCCAAUUCCACAUAAGACAAGUUAUGUUGCCCAUCGAAGUGCUAGAUUGAAGUGGUCACUUCCACUGGUCUUUUGACAUACACUUCAAAAACACUUUCCUUAACAAUAAAACCUCUAUUAAAGUUGGUCAAGACUUCCAUAUUUUGAGCACAAUUGAUAAUUUUUUCUUCACAAGGUAAGCUUUAAUCUAUCUUGAUAUGCUCAAAUAUCAUCAAAUCAAUUAUCUUUAAUAUAAGGCUACACAAGAUUAUAAAGUCAACUUAUAUCUUCUUGGAUUGUAUAUCCCAGUGUACAAGGUAAGUAAAUAACAUAAGAAUCCUUGAAAAGUAAUCUUGCUUUAUUCAAUCUCUUCUCUAGUGAUAAACAUGAGAUUGGCUGCAUAAAAUCCUCAAAAAGAGAUAAACAAAUCAUCAAAAUAUUUUGAUCAAACAUGCCAACAAAUAAGACAACUUAUAUGUCUCACACAAUGAUGAUGAAAAUGAUCAUUUCCAUCUUCCAUUAGCCACUUCGAAAACUUGCCUCAACAUAUAUAUUGAUAGUCUUUUAAAAUUUAACAUCUAAUUAUUAUAUUUUAAUUUUGAGAGAUUUUAUUUAAAAAUCUACCUUUCAUCCAAUUUUGCCGGCAUGGCAAUUAUAGAAAAAAGGAAUAAUAACUUUAUAGCCAUCAACAUUUAUAGUUUUUUUAUGAAUUUGGUGCUUAUUCUUUAAAAAGUUAUGUACAUAAAAAAAAGUUCAUAUUUUUUUAUAAAAAUAAAAGGUUUAAAUUCUUAUGGGUUGAUUUUCAUCAUCAAGCUGAUUGUUGAAAACCCAAAGUCCAUCUAUGGUAGCAAUACCAUACAAUGGAGAUGAAAUUGUGAAUGAAAGAAAAUGAGAAGCAAGCGAGUGAACAUGGAACAGUGACACUUAAAAGUCAUGUAUUUUUAGGCAUUUCACAUCUUCCAUGGUUGGAGAAUGAGGGUAUAAUGGCUUGGAAUGCGAAUAUGAGGUCGAUCGAAGUAGGUUCUCGAGGUUGGCUGAAAAUGAUAGGGCCUUGUAGGCGGAUUGUGGAAGAGCUGCUUCGGUGAUUGCCAUAGGUGAGCUUUUGAAGUAAACUUGUGUUAUGGGAUCAAUUUUUUUGGUUAUGCCUUUUAUAUAUACAUCUAACGAAUUUUAAUUGGGCAUUGGGCGAAUGUAAGGCGGGCCAGCAGUGACUUUCACCCUAAUAAAAAGAAAAAUUGUCUUUUAAGUCUUAUUAAAUUUUUUAAAGAAUUUAUAAAUUAUUAAUGAUAAAAAUAUAUUUUAAUCUUUACAAAAUUUAUAAUUCAAAAUUGACCCUUUUGAAUUAAUGUUCUGGCUUCGCUCCUACUUUGAAGACAAAUUUUUUUUAAAUAAUUUUGGUGAAAUUUAAGUAUAAAUUUAUUAUUUCUUAAAAUUAUAUUUUUAUUUAACAUAUGAAAAUAUUAAUUUUUUUAUUUUUGAGUUAAUAUAUAUUUGCCUCCUAAACUUGUUCACUUGGUACCUAGUUGAUACUUGAAUUAUUAUUUUUGGAUUAUCACCGUUAAAUUUUGUUGAUGUGGAUGAAAUAUGAUAACCUCAUAUCAUGACACAUGACAAGCCCUAAUAAAAAAAAUUAAAAAUAUUUUACCUUUAAAAUGAAUCUGGACAUAUGAUUAUCCAAAUUCAUUUAACUUGAAUAACCAUUUGCUCAAAUUCAUUUUGAACUGAAUUUUUAGUAAACUUUAUAUAUAUAUUUUAUAAACUUGCAACUUUCUUAUAUUAUUACUUUGAAAUUAAAGGUACAUGAAAUAUAUAUUUUUAAAAAUAUACCUAUAUAAAUUUGUAACUUUAGGUGAAAAUGAACAAUUAUUGUUCAAAUUUUAAUUUGUACAAGUUUAAAAAUGUGAUUUUGUGAAGGUUGGUUAACUAAAGAGAUGACCCGAGAGAAAUAAUUUGUUUAGAGUAACCUUGAGGUUUUCAAGAGCUGGUCCAUUCAUCAUUGUUAAAAAAGUAUUUAUAGGAGAGAUUCUCUUGUCUACAAAUGUGAUGUGGAAGGAUAAAUACUCAAUCCUACUAAAUUUAUAAAGAAUAUUCAUGGGCGUGAAGGAUGUGCACCAUGAGAUCCUAUUCUGUUAUAUAUUCAAUCAAGACGAGUUUAUUAUACCUAAAAAUGAGUGCAUUAGAAGCGAUAUAACUUAUUAUCAAUAAGUGAGAGGUUGGCUAAGAGUAAUUAUCUAACAGAUAACGAAAGGAUAUUCAAAUUUCCAUUAACUCAUUUUCGUCCGAAUCAAUAUUUUAUAAUAGAAAUAAUCCAUCUAGAAAACCCGCAUUAACCAAGCCGUCCAGUAAUUUUUGAGUGUAACAUUCGUAAUAAAUACAUGGUGGUAAAUAUAGAAGAGAAUCUUUUGGUGAUUAAAAUACUUAAAAAAAAUAAUAUUCAUGGGUGACGUAAACCCCAUUUAAGUAAUUGGUAACGAGACACUUACACAUCCAACCAUUCACCCUUAUUUUUAAUUUGAUUUGAUUCUUAUGCAGAGUCAACAGACCCUGACACUUUAAUUAAUAUAUUUAUAAAUAGUAUCCCUAAUUAAGCUUUUUUUUUAAAAAAAAAAAAAACCAACCCGCUUUGAUCCGUUUUACAACCUUUCCAAUCAACGUCUAACACCUCUCCCAUUUGUUUGGGCUACAUAGUCCUUACUGUACUCCCUGUACUGCCUGAUUGCACCAACUCAGAAUCCAAGCUAUCACCUCCGUUUGCUUUAUAUAUACCUGCCAAGCUUUGACGCCCAUCAACUCACUCUUUUAUUCUCUUCCACCCUUUUUCAGCUACCAGCGCCGCCCUCAGCUCAGGCCCUACUUUACGAAAUUCAACAAGUAGCAAGCAGUUAAUAUGUCGGGAUAUUAUUAUUACUCAGGGUGCCCAGAUCAGUACGGGGCUCACUAUCUGGAUGCCUGCUCCGUUUGCGGCAAAUCGCUUCAUAAUUCCGAUAUUUUCAUGUACAGGUUUGUUUGCUCUUUAGUAUUGAUUUUAAAAUUCGGAUCGUGUUUGAGUAUGAAAUAAUCUUGUUUCCUGAUGGCUAUUUUUUCAAUUGCAGAGGGAAUACACCGUUUUGCAGUACAGAGUGUAGACAAGAACAGAUGGAGAUGGAUGAAGCCAGAGAAAAGAAAUUGAAAUUUGGUAGAUCACAUAGGAAAUCGGAUUCCAAGACCUCUACACCCAACAAAACUGUUCGGACGGG
rnacentral:lncRNA from 1 species